AGCAAAGGACACUGUAUAAUUGAAGGCUCACCCGUGCUACAAUGGGGGCAAGAGUUGACUCCCCCAAUAAGAGAAAAAUUUCUAACUCUUUAUCUCUCACAAUUUAACGAUUGGAUGAAAACAUUCUAUGAUUGCACUUCUCCAUACACUCCGAAAGUUUUAUGUGGGCAUUAUCAAAAUCUUUUUUUAACAUUGCUUAUUGCAUCAUGUGACAAACGGAUUGAAUUGGAGGGCACAUGCUAAAUCCUUCGAACGGGGAUAUUUCAUUCCCACUUGAUUAUCUACAUAGUGUAAUAUAUUGUGGGUGCCAGAUUUUAAUCUCUCUGUUAUUAUCUCAAAAACAUUAAUCAUCACAAGGAUAUACUCGAUUGUCAUUCUCACGGUCAUACUCAUGACAACCCAAUUCUUUUGUUGUGAUGAGAUGGGGGCAGGCAGUUACAUGCUUCAAAUGAUAUCUUUUCUUAUCUCGCUUGAUUCUCUACUAAAAACUGGGACAUAAUUAACAUGUUUUGGCUGCCCAGAUUCUUUAUUAUCUCAAAAUACAGGAUGCAAUUGUUGGUUGAAAUGUUGUCCCCAUAUGUGCACAUUUGUCCGACUACAAUGAGGUGGUGUGAUUUCUAAACAAACAAAGACGCCAGGAGAACAGGGAAACUCAGAGGGAGAGGAAUAGCAGCAGACUCUAAACUGCAUCUCUUGAAAAUGAGGAGCCAGAAUGCCAAAUUUAUACUUGGAUGUGGACUACACAGAUAAGGACCAUCUCAUUCAUUUUGAUCAGUUUAGAAUUAAAUGGACUUGGUUCCUCUUUGACAAAAAGAGAAAAACGUUGAGCCACUAAUUUACAUGGUGCAUAGAAUCUGUUUCUUUGAAAUCUGGAUGCCCAUCUAUCCUACAAAUGCAUAUCGCAUUUGUAUACUUACACCUGAUGAUUUUGUAUACUUACACUUAUUGAUUGAUUGAAUGCUCAGAAGAAGAGUUUUUCAAAGCUAAUGUUUUGCUCAAAAAAGUUAGACUAAGAAACGCUUUAAUCGCACACUAGCAAAGAACUAUCCAGAAGACAACCAAUGCAAAAGUAAGGAUUGAAACACAUGCUUGUUGGUGUGCAUUCAAAGCUUCUAAGCCA
rnacentral:lncRNA from 1 species